GUAAAUCUGAAAAAAAAUAGGAAUGUGUAUAUUGACAUCAACUGAUCCCUAAGAUAAAUGUCAGGUUAUAAAAAAGAAAAAUAUUCUCAAUAUUAUGGGAGAAAACCUGACAAUGUGAAAAGAAGAGUUAAUUGAUUUCCCCUUUAAAAAUUGUUACAAUUAUUCGAUUUAUAUUUUCAUACAGGAACCCAAGCUUACUAAACUUAUUACUAGUUUUGAUAAAGCAAGAGAGGAACUGAGAGUCUAUAUAGUUUGCUGAAGCUUACAGCUCCUAUGUGAUGGUGUUGGGCCUACAAUGCAGGUCUCCUGAUGGCAGCCCUUGGAACUUUGAAUUCCUUAUGACCAUAUUUCAAAUCCCAGUAAAAUGUUUUUGUUGCGGGUAAGAAAAAGUGUGAUGCAAAGUAUCAUGCAUAUGAUGUUUAUCACAGAGAAGGUCUUACUCAUCCCACUAUUUUCACAAGGAAUCAUCCUUUGAAAAAAUUCAGGGUAGAUGUAGAUCCUCACACUCUAAUGAAAACCACAGGUUGGAUAUGUCAGCACUUCCAUACAACUGUGUCACAGCUGGCUGGAUCUUUACUGAAGCAAAAAAUAAACCUACAUUGUCCUACGUAUAGGGAAAGUAGAGUUGUACACGGCAAAUGUUUCAGGGAGUUCUCUUCAGAUUACCUGGAAAAUAUAAAAAUAGGAAGUGAGAUUUCCAUCCCAUUAAGAUUAGCUGCCCUGAACUCUGUUUUCCACAGAAUCAAGGGGAGGUGUUACACAAAAUUCCAGCUUCAUCUCAGAAACUUGUUCCCAGCAUCUCUGUAAACAGUUGGAUCCAAGAAAAAAAAUGUGUUCUUUACUGGUAGGGCUAAUAUCAAGCUCACCCCAUAUAAAUGGGAAAGCUGAGGAUGAGAUCCUUUACAAGGAACAAAGACUGACAGUACAUUCAUCUGAGUCCUGGCCCAAGCAUGCCUUCUUGCAGGAUGACUAGAGGAUGAUACAUUCACCCACUGACCCUUCUGCCCAAGAGUAUCAGCCUGUGAGAAAUGAUGCUAGGGUUUAGACAAAGCCAUUUUUUGACAUUGUGCCCCUGUGGUUUCAGUCUUUAUAACGGCAUUGCCUUUAACAAUACAUUGUGAUGAGAAGAAAUCAUUUUUUCUCUCACUUAGUCAUUCAGCAGAGUGGUUUGGA